rnacentral:rRNA from 1 species
CCUACGGGGGGCAGCAGUGAGGAAUAUUGGUCAAUGGACGAGAGUCUGAACCAGCCAAGUAGCGUGAAGGAUGACUGCCCUAUAGGUUGUAAACUUCUUUUAUAUGGGAAUAAAACGUUCCACGUGUGGGAUUUUGUAUGUACCAUAUGAAUAAGGAUCGGCUAACUCCGUGCCAGCAGCCGCGGUAAUACGGAGGAUCCGAGCGUUAUCCGGAUUUAUUGGGUUUAAAGGGAGCGUAGGGGGAUUGUUAAGUCAGUUGUGAAAGUUUGCGGCUCAACCGUAAAAUUGCAGUUGAAACUGGCAGUCUUGAGUACAGUAGAGGUGGGCGGAAUUCGUUGUGUAGCGGUGAAAUGCUUAGAUAUCACGAAGAACUCCGAUUGCGAAGGCAGUUCACUGGACUGCAACUGACACUGAGGCUCGAAAGUGUGGGUAUCAAACAGGAUUAGAUACCCGAGUAGUC